rnacentral:rRNA from 1 species
AUUGAACGCUGGCGGCAGGCCUAACACAUGCAAGUCGAGCGAGCGGCGGACGGGUGAGUAAUGUAUGGGGACUGCCCGAUAGAGGGGGAUAACUACUGGAAACGGUAGCUAAUACCGCAUACUAUCGGAUAACCCAUAUGGGAGUAGCUAGUAGGUGAGGUAAUGGCCCAUCUAGGCGACGGUCCCUAGCGGGUCGGCGAGGAUGAUCAGCCACACGUGGACUGAGACACGGCCCAGACUCCUACGGAGGCAGCAGUGGGGAAUAUGGCACAAUGGGCGCAAGCCGGAUACAGCCAUGCCGAGUGUAUGAAGAAGGCCCUAGGGUUGUAAAGUACUGUCAGUCGGGAGGCGUUACCGACAGAAGAAGCACCGGCUAACUCCGUGCCAGCAGCCGCGGUAAUUC